rnacentral:rRNA from 1 species
AUUGAACGCUGGCGGCAGGCCUAACACAUGCAAGUCGAGCGGAUGAGUGGAGCUUGCUCCAUGAUUCAGCGGCGGACGGGUGAGUAAUGCCUAGGAAUCUGCCUGGUCGUGGGGGACAACGUUUCGAAAGGAACGCUAAUACCGCAUACGUCCUACGGGAGAAAGUGAGGGAUCUUCGGACCUCACGCUAUCUGAUGAGCCUAGUUCGGAUUAGCUAGUUGGUGUGGUAAAGGCUCACCAAGGCGACGAUCCGUAACUGGUCUGAGAGGAUGAUCAGUCACACUGGAACUGAGACACGGUCCAGACUCCUACGGGAGGCAGCAGUGGGGAAUAUUGGACAAUGGGCGAAAGCCUGAUCCAGCCAUGCCGCGUGGGUGAAGAAGGUCUUCGGAUUGUAAAGCACUUUAAGUUGGGAGGAAGGGCAGUAAGUUAAUACCUUGCUGUUUUGACGUUACCAACAGAAUAAGCACCGGCUAACUUCGUG